GGAAUGACUCUCGGCAACGGAUAUCUCGGCUCUCGCAUCGAUGAAGAACGCAGCGAAAUGCGAUACUUGGUGUGAAUUGCAGAAUCCCGCGAACCAUCGAGUCUUUGAACGCAAGUUGCGCCCAAGGCCUUCCGGCCGAGGGCACGUCUGCCUGGGUGUCACGCAACAU
rnacentral:rRNA from 1 species